rnacentral:rRNA from 1 species
AUGGAGAGUUUGAUCCUGGCUCAGGAUGAACGCUGGCGGUAUGCUUAACACAUGCAAGUCGAACGAAAGUUUUUAACUUUAGUGGCGAACGGGUGCGUAAUACGUGAGAAUCUGCCCUUAGGAGAAGAAUAACUACUGGAAACGGUUGCUAAAUCUUCAUGUACCGAGAGGUGAAAUAGCUUCGGCUGCCAAAG